rnacentral:rRNA from 1 species
UACGUAGGGGGCAAGCGUUGUCCGGAAUCAUUGGGCGUAAAGAGCGCGUAGGCGGCCCAGUAAGUCCGCUCUGAAAGUCAGGGGCUCAACCCCUGAAUGCGGGUGGAUACUGCUGGGCUAGAGUCCGGAAGAGGCGAGUGGAAUUCCUGGUGUAGCGGUGAAAUGCGUAGAUAUCGGGAAGAACACCAAAGGCGAAAGCGCUCUGCUGGGCCGAAACUGACACUGAGGUGCGAAAGCGUGGGGAGCAAACAGG